rnacentral:rRNA from 1 species
CUACGGGAGGCUCCAGUGGGGAAUAUUGCACAAUGGGCGCAAGCCUGAUGCAGCCAUGCCGCGUGUAUGAAGAAGGCCUUCGGGUUGUAAAGUACUUUCAGCGGGGAGGAAGGGAGUAAAGUUAAUACCUUUGCUCAUUGACGUUACCCGCAGAAGAAGCACCGGCUAACUCCGUGCCAGCAGCCGCGGUAAUACGGAGGGUGCAAGCGUUAAUCGGAAUUACUGGGCGUAAAGCGCACGCAGGCGGUUUGUUAAGUCAGAUGUGAAAUCCCCGGGCACAACCUGGGAACUGCAUCUGAUGCUGGCAAGCUUGAGUCUCGUAGAGGGGGGUAGAAUUCCAGGUGUAGCGGUGAAAUGCGUAGAGAUCUGGAGGAAUACCGGUGGCGAAGGCGGCCCCCUGGGCGAAGACUGACGCUCAGGUGCGAAAGCGUGGGGAGCAAACAGGAUUAGAUACCCCGGUAGUC